rnacentral:rRNA from 1 species
UACGGAGGGGGCUAGCGUUGUUCGGAAUUACUGGGCGUAAAGCGCACGUAGGCGGCUUUGUAAGUUAGAGGUGAAAGCCCGGGGCUCAACUCCGGAAUUGCCUUUAAGACUGCAUCGCUAGAAUUGUGGAGAGGUGAGUGGAAUUCCGAGCGUAGAGGUGAAAUUCGUAGAUAUUCGGAAGAACACCAGUGGCGAAGGCGACUCACUGGCUCAUUACUGACGCUCAGGCGCGAUAGCGUGGGGAUCAAACAGG